rnacentral:rRNA from 1 species
GACGAACGCUGGCGGCGUGCUUAAUGAAUGCGAGUCGAGCGAGAACCGGACUGAGGAAACCUUCGGGUGGAAUCAGUCUGGGGAGAGCGGCAAACGGGUGAGUAACACGUGGGUAACCUACCCCUCAGACGGGGAUAAUUCGCCGAAAGGCGGACUAAUACCCGAUGGUGAUGUGCCAACACAUGUUGAUACAUCUAAAGGCUCCGGUGCUGAGGGAGGGGUCCGCGGCCGAUUAGCCUGUUGGUAGGGUAACGGCCUACCAAGGCUUCGAUCGGUAGCCGGUCUGAGAGGAUGACCGGUCACACUGGGACUGAGACAUGGUCCAGACUCCUACGGGAGUUAGCAUCAGGGAAUCUUGCGCAAUGGGCGAAAGCCUGACGCAGCGACGCCGCGUGGGUGAUGAAGGCCUGCGGGUCGUAAAGCCCUGUCGGGAGGGAAGAAACAGCACCUUCGGGUGCUUUGACUGUACCUCCGGAGGAAGCCCCGGCUAAUUACGUGCCAGCAGCCGCGGUAAUACGUAAGGGGCCAGCGUUGUCCGGAAUUACUGGGCGUAAAGAGCACGUAGGCGGUUAGGAAAGCGAUAGGUGAAAUCCCCCGGCUCAACCGAGGAACUGCUUAUCGAACUGCCUGACUAGAGCACGGGAGAGGGCACUGGAAUUCCUGGUGUAGCGGUGGAAUGCGUAUAUAUCAGGAGGAACACCGGUGGCGAAGGCUGGUGCCUGGAACGUUGCUGACGCUAAGGUGCGAAAGCCAGGGGAACAAACGGGAUUAGAUACCCCGGUAGUCCUGGCCGUAAACGAUGGACACUAGGUGUUGGAGGUUCGACCCCUUCAGUGCUGUUAAGCUAACGCGUUAAGUGUCCCGCCUGGGGAGUACGGUCGCAAGGCUGAAACUCAAAAGGAAUUGACGGGGGCCCGCACAAGCGGUGGAGCAUGUGGGUCAAUGGGAUGAUACGCCGAGAACCUUACCAGGGCUUGACAUGACCCUGAUCCCCUGCGAAAGCAGGUCUUCUGGGCAACCAGACAGGGCCACAGGUGGUGCAUGGUUGUCGACAGCUCGUGUCGUGAGAUGUUGGGUUAAGUCCCGCCACGAGCGCAACCCUCGCCGGAUGUUGCCAGCGGUUAGGCCGGGCACUCUUCCGGGACUGCCGGAGUAAUCCGGAGGAAGGGGGGGAUGACGUCAAAUCUGCAUGCCCCUUAUGUCCUGGGCUGCACACGUGCUACAAUGGCGAGUACAAAGGGUCGCGAAGCCGCGAGGCCCAGCUAAUCCCCAAAAACUCGUCCCAGUUCGGAUUGGAGUCUGCAACUCGACUCCAUGAAGUCGGAAUCGCUAGUAACCGUGGAUCAGCAAUGCCGCGGUGAAUACGUUCCCGGGCCUUGUACACACCGCCCGUCAAGUCACGGAAGCCGACAGCACCCCAAGUCCGCUACGGCGGCCCAAGGUGAGGUCAGUGACUGGG